rnacentral:rRNA from 1 species
GACGAACGCUGGCGGCGUGCCUAAUACAUGCAAGUAGAACGCUGAAGAGAGGAGCUUGCUCUUCUUGGAUGAGUUGCGAACGGGUGAGUAACGCGUAGGUAACCUGCCUUGUAGCGGGGGAUAACUAUUGGAAACGAUAGCUAAUACCGCAUAACAAUGGAUGACACAUGUCAUUUAUUUGAAAGGGGCAAUUGCUCCACUACAAGAUGGACCUGCGUUGUAUUAGCUAGUAGGUGAGGUAACGGCUCACCUAGGCGACGAUGCAUAGCCGACCUGAGAGGGUGAUCGGCCACACUGGGACUGAGACACGGCCCAGACUCCUACGGGAGGCAGCAGUAGGGAAUCUUCGGCAAUGGGGGCAACCCUGACCGAGCAACGCCGCGUGAGUGAAGAAGGUUUUCGGAUCGUAAAGCUCUGUUGUAAGUCAAGAACGAGUGUGAGAGUGGAAAGUUCACACUGUGACGGUAGCUUACCAGAAAGGGACGGCUAACUACGUGCCAGCAGCCGCGGUAAUACGUAGGUCCCGAGCGUUGUCCGGAUUUAUUGGGCGUAAAGCGAGCGCAGGCGGUUUGAUAAGUCUGAAGUUAAAAGGCUGUGGCUCAACCAUAGUUCGCUUUGGAAACUGUCAAACUUGAGUGCAGAAGGGGAGAGUGGAAUUCCAUGUGUAGCGGUGAAAUGCGUAGAUAUAUGGAGGAACACCGGUGGCGAAAGCGGCUCUCUGGUCUGUAACUGACGCUGAGGCUCGAAAGCGUGGGGAGCGAACAGGAUUAGAUACCCUGGUAGUCCACGCCGUAAACGAUGAGUGCUAGGUGUUGGAUCCUUUCCGGGAUUCAGUGCCGCAGCUAACGCAUUAAGCACUCCGCCUGGGGAGUACGACCGCAAGGUUGAAACUCAAAGGAAUUGACGGGGGCCCGCACAAGCGGUGGAGCAUGUGGUUUAAUUCGAAGCAACGCGAAGAACCUUACCAGGUCUUGACAUCCCGAUGCUAUUUCUAGAGAUAGAAAGUUACUUCGGUACAUCGGUGACAGGUGGUGCAUGGUUGUCGUCAGCUCGUGUCGUGAGAUGUUGGGUUAAGUCCCGCAACGAGCGCAACCCCUAUUGUUAGUUGCCAUCAUUCAGUUGGGCACUCUAGCGAGACUGCCGGUAAUAAACCGGAGGAAGGUGGGGAUGACGUCAAAUCAUCAUGCCCCUUAUGACCUGGGCUACACACGUGCUACAAUGGUUGGUACAACGAGUUGCGAGUCGGUGACGGCAAGCUAAUCUCUUAAAGCCAAUCUCAGUUCGGAUUGUAGGCUGCAACUCGCCUACAUGAAGUCGGAAUCGCUAGUAAUCGCGGAUCAGCACGCCGCGGUGAAUACGUUCCCGGGCCU